GGGAAUGUAGCUCAGUGGGGGAGCGCUUGCCUUACAAGCAAGAGGUCGCAGGUUCAAUCCCUGCCAUUCCCACCA
rnacentral:tRNA from 2 species